AUCCAUAUGAUGCAAAGUUCCCCAGUUAGGGAUCGAACCCCUACCACAGCAGUGACAACACUAGAAGGCCACCAGGGAACUCAAAGUACUCUUAUAAAUAGCUGUUUAGAGCACUCAGGUCCCCUACACCCUGCACAGCGCUAUGAGUAUUAGGAUUUAUAACAAAAAGUUUGCAAAUUCAUUUUUCUAAUUUUUUUCUUUUUUAAAAUUACUAUUAAAGUAUAGUUGAUUUUCAAUGUUUUGUCAAGUUCUGUUGUAUAACAAAGUGACCCUGUGAUGUAUAGCAGGAUCCCACUGCCCAUCCAUUCCAGAUAUAACAUUUUGCAUCUUCCAAACCCCCCAAAAUGCCCAUCCAUCCCACUCCCUCCCCUUCCCCCUCUACCCAGGAACUCCAAGUCUGCUCUUCUUGGCCAUGAUCUGUUUCUAUUUUUGUUUGUUUGUUUUUAGAUAGAACCAUCUGUUCCAUAUUUUAUAUUAUACAAAUAAGUGACAUCAUAUGGUAUUUGUCUUUUUCUUUCUGGCAUACUUCACUUAGUAUGAGAGUCUCUAGGUCCAUCCAUGUUGCUGCAAAUGGCAUUAGUUUGUCUUUUUUGUGGCUGAGUAGUAUUCCUUCGUAAAUAUUACCACAUCUUCUUAUUCUCACACCUUUUUUAUUAUUAGACAAACUGAACUUUUUCUAUGUUUAUUAUUGUAUUUGUCUUGUGCAUCACCUACUUUAUCAAGGAAAAUUUUUGAAAAACUUACUUUGAAAUAACCUUAGGUUUAUAGGAAAAGUGCAAAGACAAGACAGAAAGUUCCCAUAUACCCUUCACCCAGCUCCCAGAUUAAUGUUAACAUCUUCUAUAACCAUGAUAUGUUUGUCAAAACUGAAAAAUUAGCUUGGGUACAAUACUAUUCUCUAAACUCCAGACUUUGGAUUUCACCAGUUUCUCCACUAAAGUCCUUUUACUGUUUCAAUAUCUAAUCCAGGAUUCUACACUACAUUUAGUUGUCACAUCUCUUACUCCCCUCUGAUCUGUGACGGGUUUGGUCUUUCCUUGUUUUUCAUGACUAUAAUAUCUUUGAAGGGCACUGGUGCAGUAUUUUGUAGAAUGCCUGAUGUUUUCUCAUGAUUGGACUUGGGUUAUAAGCUUGUGGCAAGAACCACAGAGGUGACACGUCUUCCUCCUUGCAUCAUUUCUGGGGUCACAUGAUACCAGCAUGACUUAGAACUGGGGGUGUUAAUCUUAGUCACUUGGGUAGAGUGGUGUCUGCCAGGCUUAUCAGCCACGACUUACUAUUUUCCCUUUCCACACGCUCUUCUUUGGAAAUGAGUCACUAAGUCUAGCUUACCCUCAGGGGAAAGGAAUUAAACGCCACCUACUGAAAGGGGAGCAGCAUAUAUUACCUAGAAUUCUUCUGUAAAGCAGAUUUACAGAAGACUCUUCUUCUGUAAAGCAGAUUCUGUAAAGACCUUCUGUACAGACUCUUCUGUAAAGAAGAUUCUUAUUUCCUGUUUAUUUAUUCAAUUGUUUGUUUGUAAUAAAUGGAUUCAUGGGUUCUUUUGGCUGUAAGUCAAUACUAUUGCUGUUUAUUUUAUUCCUCUAACUGUUCGGCUUUGGCCACUGACAGCUCUUUCUAGCUGGCCCUUAUGGCCUUCAGAUAUGCCUUUAUGUUUGGUUUGGGUUUUAAGCACUUCCUUACGUUCUGAAUUAGAAGAUAUUUCAGGUUCGUGUUGUAUUUUCCCUGCUAGCUCCAGAAUCAGCCAUUUCUCCAAGAAGCCCUGGUUCCUUUCACAGGAGAACGGUACUCAGAAACUAAGAUCUCGCAGUGGGUGUGCUCCUUGCUGACACUGGAGCGUCACUGCUAGUGGGCAGAGCUAGGAAACAAAUAUGUGAAUCUUAACCCAAAUAUAAACACAACCUAUAUCGAUUUCUAUAUCUUUACAUGGAUUAAGCAUAUAUUAAAAUAUAUCCCAGCCUACCACUAACUUGGCCUCCAGACAGAGUCUUUUCCUGUGAAAGUAAAUGAGAGGAUGUGUUCUCUGAUACACAGAAAGCACUCAAUCUGUGUUGGUUGAGUGAAUGAGUGAGUGAGGAAAGAGAGGAUUUGGGUGUAUGCUGUGGCCUCUCCCUUGUUCAAAUCCACACUCCAUCACUUACUAAAGUGGGCAAGUUACCAGGUCUGGGCAGUUGUUACUUUCUCCUCGGUAUGUUUCUCCGAUAUAGUCUAAAUUUUCUAAAUAUAAACAUGUUAUUUUUUUAAUUUUUAAUUUUUAUUUAUGUAUUUAUUUUGUCUUUUUGCCCUUUCUAGGGCCGCACCCUUGGCACAUGGAGGUUCCCAGGCUAGGGGUCUAAUAGGAGCUGUAGCCGCUGGCCCUAUGCCACAGCUAGUUGGAUUCGUUAACCACUGAGCCGUGAUGGGAACUCCUGUCAUUUUAUAGUUAAUAAAAGAAAACUAUUUAAAAAGCAGCAUCUCCCACACUCUUCCUUACAGUGAAUAUUAAUAAACACUUCGGAGGGUUGCAUGGAGGACAACGAGCAUGUGUGGCACACCAGCCACAAUUUCCUGGCACACCAGAGCUGCCACUUAGUAUGUGUUGGCUGCCAUUGUCUUUCUUGUCCUUUGCUGAUCCUUCCAGAAGCCAUGUUGUGAAACUGAUGACAAAAUCUUCCUCUCUGUUUUUUCCACCAGGUUUGAACAGGGAUGUGGCCACAGCAAGACAGUCAUCAUCAAACGAGCCCCUUUCUUUGUCACCUGGACUCCUCCUACCCAUGUCCUCCUGCAGCGGAGGUCUCUCAGAAUACUCCUGAGUACACAUGGAGGACCCACAACCAAAGCCCAGGACUGGGCGAGCGUCUCCCAGCCCAGCACAAGGUCCUCGUUCAGCUCCAGCUCCUCUGCUCAUUUGCACUGUCCCUCUCCUGCAAUGUCACGAUCUGCACUGGAAGCCCACAGGUGACAGGGUUUGGUCCUCAGAGUAAGCAAAGCAAAGCACCAGCUCCCUGUGACCAUCUCAGUAGCUCUGGCUUCAGUUCUGUCUUUCUACCCAAGAUUCAUUCCUCUGGGGAAAUUUUCCCUUCCCUUCUUCCAAGGAGCAGGAAGAAAGAGGACUUUUUACUUCCAUAUCUCUUUCCAUUUAAAAUAAAAGAGGAGUUCCCAUCGUGGCUCAGAGGAAACGAAUGUGAUUAGCAUCUAUGAGGUCACAGGUUCCAUCCCUGGCCUCCCUCAGUGGGUUAAGGAUUCGGCAUUGCCGGGAGCAGUAGUGUAGGUCACAGACACGGCUCGGAUCUGCCAUUGCUGUGGCUGUGAUGUCGGCCGGUGGCUGCAGCUCCAAUUCGACCCCCUAGCCUAGGAGCCUCCAUUUGCCACAGGAGCGGCCCUAGAAAGACACACAGAAAAAAGAAUGCAAUUAAAGAGAACCACUCAGAAGGAGAGGAAAUAUUUUGCACUUCUAGAACCAAGCAUGCAGAGAUGGUCGACCAUGGCAGCCAAAGUCACAAGUCUGGAAAAAUGUAUCAUUUUCAGCAAAAGCCAAAGGGAACUGAGGGUGUGUCAGAGAAACAAAUCUCAAAAUACUGAGCUUAUCCAAAGCAAACAAAUAGCAUUUGUCAGAGAGCUCACUUUCCACAUGAGUUAUAUCCCUUCCUAGUGGGUUUACACCCAAGCCCCCUCUUCUGUCCACACCACUUUCUAGAGAGUUACCGUGCUUUGCUUGUGCAGUACCCUGUAGGGCUGAGGGAGGGAGGGAGGGGGGACGUCCUCCUUUCCAGCUCAAGGAUGGAGCGCACCCGGCAUCUCUCUCACCUGAGGCACCACUUCCACCUUCCAGCUGGUCUCCUCCCAUGUUUUCUUUACUGCAGGACUUCUCAGAGCCUUUAGUAUCUUGAUGAUCAUCCAAGAGAGAAAUACAUAAUAAUGGACACAUCCCAAACUUAUGCUGGAGGAAUCCUUUAUUCGAGGGGCGUCUACUAGCAUCUCUCUGGCCACUACAGUUCCAGAAACCCAGUUCAGCCUAUAGGAUUCAAUGCCAACUCCUCAACAGUCACUCAAGGCCUUCCAUCGUCUGGGGCUACACCUCCCAUUCCAGGCUCGUUCUCUGCCUCCCUCUUAUACUUUUCCUGUGAGUCCCUAAACAAGAUCAUCUCAUUUCAAGUUUCAGUGCCUUUGCAUAUGCUAUUCCACCAGCCUGAAAUGCUUUUCCCUACCCAUCCUCUGAGGUUGACCCUGCCAAUUCUGUGAAAUGUCCCCAGCUCCCCCAGGCUAAACACAGACAUACUGGCCUUGAUGCUCCCGCAGCUCUCUCGGCCCGCGCCCUGUUAGCAACCCGCCACCCUCGACUACAAAUGUGUUUACAACCUGCCGAUCCUUUGUUUUGCUUCUUGCUCUCUUCGGACCCAACUCCUCAGCCUCCCACCAGUUCUAUGAGACACCCAUUCCCCUUUAAUACUUUUCUUCUUUUUAAAAAAGGUAGUGAGAAUUAGGUUCUGUUGCUUACAAUCGGGAGUUCCCCUUGUGGCUUGGUGCAUUAAGAACCCAAUUAGUAUCCAUGAGGACGCAGGUUUGAUCCCUGGAUGUGGCCAUAAAAAAAGAAAAAAGGCAACCCUCCCCAAAUCUUAACCUCUCCACACCCAGGUAGAAGAAUUUUAAAACAUCUAUAGUCAAAGCAACACAUGUUGAAAAUGGCAAAAAAAAAAAAANAAAAAAAACAAAAAACCUGUUCUAUUUUCAUCGGGGAUUAACGCUCAAGGGACUCCAGGGAAAAUUCAGCGUGAUUUGAGUGAUGCCUGAGGAGCUACCCGCCACGGUGACUCAGACCCUGAGGAAGCCCUUCCUGCAGCGCAGGAGCCACGUGCCCUGAGAUGCUGCUCGUGUCAGUCAAGAAGGUAGAUGCCCACGUCCCUCAGAAGCAGCAGCCCCAGCUCCACUCCACAAGCAGCCUCCUCUACAGCUUCGGGGGCAGGCGGGGCCAGAGCAUCAACCCCUGAACUUGCCCAGGCCAUGUUCAGAAGGCCGCCUGAGAAGUCAUUUCACAAAGGUUUCCAAGAGGAGGAAUUUAUCUUCGAAGCACACGAAGCAGGAGGGAGUGCUAAGCAGGCCCGGAACCUUUGCAACGGGACUCCCCCCUCCUUUCAACACGGGGUGGGUCCAUUUCCCCUCCCCUCGAAUCCGGAUGGCCUCGAAUUUUGCUUUAACUCAAAGACCGAGGCAGAAGCGAUGCUGCGUCAGUUCUGGCCUAGGCCUUCGGAAGCCCAGCAGCUUGGGCUUCACACCCUGGGAACCCUGAGACCAUCCCUCUGGGAAGAAGCCAGGUCUGGCCUCCUGGAAAACGAGAGCCACAGGGAGGAGCACGCCUGCCCUGAGACUCUAGGCGUGUGGGAGUGAGGAGGCUCCCUUGAGCUCCCAGCCCAGCCCUGCCAUGAGCUGAAUGCAGCUCCAGGAGCGAACCCCGCCAAGCCCAGCAGAGAACUGCCCGGCCAGAACCGUGAGAAAUAAUAAGUUACUGUCCGGAGCUACUGAGUUUCAGGGGAGUUUGUUAGGCAGCCAUAGAUGCAAAAACAGCAGGAAGUCUCCGCAAGAAGGAGGGAACACAGACAUGCCUGGUCGUGGGGAAGAAGAUGCCCAAGCAAGGCAGGUGCCCCUUUCGCGAAACCUGCAAAGCAGUGAGGUGUCAGGAACCCGAGUGACAAGACUGCUCCUAUACAGAGAGGUGAUGGGUCCACAGAUGGAGGAAGGGCCUGAGCUGGGACGCGCCUUCCUCACCCCUGCGGUAACGUGCCAGCCCGAGACCAAGGAAGGCAUUAAUGACCUACCAGCCGAACCACCCUGCCUCC
rnacentral:lncRNA from 1 species